rnacentral:rRNA from 1 species
AAACAUGGCUCUUUGAAUUAUUUUUAUAGGGAGUCAGGCCUGCCCAGUGAAAUUUACUUUAACGGCCGCGGUACUCUGACCGUGCAAAGGUAGCAUAAUCAUUUGCCUUAUAAUUGAAGGCUAGUAUGAAUGGUUUAACGAGAGCAGCACUGUCUCUUUUUUAUUUUCAAGAACUUAACCUUUAGGUGAAGAGGCCUAAAUUUUAUUGAAGGACAAGAAGACCCUGUCGAGCUUAAAAGACACUAUAGAAGUUUAUAUAUACCUAAAUAAAUUUUCUGUUAAGCUUUUUAGUUGGGGCGACUAAGGAACAAAAAAAGCUUCUUAAGCAAAACAAACAUUCAAGUUUUGAUCCGGUGAUAGCCGAUUUAAGGAAUUAGUUACCGCAGGGAUAACAGCAUAAUCUCUCUUGAGAGACCUAAUCGAAAGAGGGGGUUGUGACCUCGAUGUUGGACUAGAAUAUCCUAAAGAUGCAGAAGUCUUUAAAGGUCGGUCUGUUCGACCGUUAAAAUUUUACGUGAUC